AGAGUUUGAUCCUGGCUUAGGACGAACGCUGGCGGCGUGCUUCAUACAUGCAAGUCGAACGAUAAGGUCCUUCGGGAAUACAUAAGUGGCGGACGGGUGAGUAAUAUGUAGAGAAUCUGCCUUCAAGCGGGGGACAACAGAGGGAAACUUCUGCUAAUACCCCAUAUGAGCGUACCUGUGAUGGUAUUCUUGAAAGCUCCGGCGCUUGGAGAUGAGUCUGCAUCUGAUUAGCUAGUUGGGGGUGUAAUGGACCACCAAGGCGACGAUCAGUAGCUGGUUUGAGAGGAUGAUCAGCCACAAUGGGACUGAGACACGGCCCAUACUCCUACGGGAGGCAGCAGUGGGGAAUAUUGGACAAUGGGGGAAACCCUGAUCCAGCCGACGCCGCGUGAGUGAAGAAGUAUUUCGGUAUGUAAAGCUCUAUCAGCAAGGAAGAUAAUGACGGUACUUGACUAAGAAGCCCCGGCUAACUACGUGCCAGCCGCUGC
rnacentral:rRNA from 1 species